UACGGGAGGCAGCAGUGGGGAAUCUUGCACAAUGGGCGAAAGCCUGAUGCAGCGACGCCGCGUGCGGGACGAAGGCCUUCGGGUUGUAAACCGCUUUCAGCAGGGACGAGGCCGCAAGGUGACGGUACCUGCAGAAGAAGCCCCGGCUAACUACGUGCCAGCAGCCGCGGUAAU
rnacentral:rRNA from 1 species